GUUCUUUAAUUUUUGAGCAGGGUAAAUCAAGCUUUUCUAACCCCUCAAUACCUUCUGAAAUCGAUGGAAACAUCUCAAGACUGGAGCAGCCAUAAAGAUUAAAGGUUUUCAGACAUUUCAUAUGAAUGCAGCUUGGAAGACUCUUAAGUUUCUUGCAAUCUUUUAGGUUGAAAUGACUCAACCCCGUGAGAUUAUUAAUUGACAGGGGCAGUUCUUUAAUUUUGGACCCGGAUAAAUUAAGCUCUUCUAACUCCUCCAUACCUUCUGAAAUCUCUGGAAACAUCUCAAGACUGGAGCAGCCAGAAAGAUUAAAGGUUUUGAGAGAUCUCAUACGAAUUUUGCUGGGUAGAAUCUUAAGUUCCUUGCAAUUUGAUAGGUUCAAAUGACACAACCCCAUGAGAUUAUUAAUUGACUCGGGCAGUUCUUUAAUUUUGGACUCGGAUAAAUUAAGCUCUUCUAACUCCUCCAUACCUUCUGAAAUCUCUGGAAACAUCAGAAGACUGGAGCAGCCAAAAAGAUUAAAGGUUUUGAGAGAUCUCAUACGAAUUUUGCUAGGUAGAAUCUUAAGUUCCUUGCAAUUUGAUAGGUUGAAAUGACUCAACCCCAUGAGAUUGUUAAUUGACUCGGACAGUUCUUUAAUUUUGGACCCGGAUAAAUCAAGCUCUUCUAACCCCUCAAUCACUUCUAAAAUCUCUGGAAACAUCUCAAGGCUCACGCAGUUAAUAAGAUCAAGAGUUUUGAGAGAUUGCAUACGAAUUUUACUAGGUAGAAUCUUAAGUUUUUCGCACCCAUUCAGAUCCAAUAAAACAAGUUUUGUAAGAUUCGAAAUAGAUGGGUGAACCUUAACUAACCCUAUACAACCAUGAAGAAUUAGCCUCUCAAGAUUUGGCACAUUUGUGAAGUCAGGGGUUUCCUUAAGGUAUUCACAAUAACUUAAAUUGAUGAAUUUCAACUUUUCCUGCGUCUGUUAAAACAUUCAGGAAAACAUGCAUUACUUAAUAAGACAUCUCACUCAAAGCCCAAACAUUUAAAAGAAACAAAUACAUGUAAAUGAUUGUACAUACCUGGGUUCCUUCCCAAAGUCGGUCAAUGUGGCUAUAUUGCAUGUCAAGUCCAACAAGAUUUUCGAAUUGAAAGUUGGAUGGCAAAGACUUGAGCGGGAAACAAGACCAGGAAAGAAACCUCAACUCACUAGAAACAAACUUUAAGGACCCAGUCAGGUGUUGUAUGCUGAAAGUACCGAUCUUGAGAAGUCUUAGUUUAGUCAUCCUAUCAAAAGCUUUAACAAUUAAGCAUCCCUCAUAUGAGUGCCCCAAAUCUAGGAUUAUGCUUUCAACUGUUUCUGUACCCUGUGCAAAUCAAAGGGAAGGAAAAAGCAGAGAACCUUAGUUUAGAUUAUGAAGUUAAUGCUUGUUUCUUAAGGAGUUGUUUGAUAAUAAUUUUGUUUUCACUUUUCACUUUUGUUUUGAUUAUUUAUUUAGAAAUCUGAAAAUUGAAAACAUAUAACUUGUUUGUAAUUGUUUUCAAUUUUCAAUUAUUAAAAAAAUGAAAAUUUAAAAAUAUAAAUGGAAACAAAAGUGGUUAUCAAACGAGCUUAAGAAAUUGAUUUUGGUCAAAAGUUGAAGCUUUCUACUAAACAUUGCAUAAGAAAAGAAAUUAUCACCGUAUUUUUAGUUAUCACAUGAAAAACAUCUUCAUAACUCCACAACCUACUUCGUCUCCCAGGCUCUUUGAUAGAUUCUUGGUAGACGAUUUUCUGACCCAUUUCCUCUAGUAAAUCAUGCAUCUCCAGUUCCCCCCUCCAUGAGACAGUUACUAGAGCUCGAUCGAUUAGAACUUUUAUUCCAAUAUCAGGAUAGGAACCACAGCUGUGCAGAACUGUGGUUGCAUAGUCUUUUCUCAUUCCUUUAAAGAAACAUGCAAUAUCUAGAAAGAUAUCCUUCUCCGUGUCAUCUAGUCCAUCGAAGCUUGUUUUAAGCACAUCAUGAAUUCCCUUUUGCGGGAUUUUCUUUAUUUUUUCUAACUCAUUUUCCCACUGGCGUACAUUUUUGUUAUAAAGAAAAGCUCCCAAGACUUUGAGUGCUAAAGGCAGACCUUGAGCAUAAUUUACAGCACGACUCGAGAUCAUCAUAAUCUCUGUUGGGUUGGUUUUUUCUAAAGGCGUACCGCCUAAAGAGUUCCAGAGCUCCAUAAUCACUUAAAAUCUUGGGAUUAUAUAUCCCAUCAGCUAUGCUUAGUAAUUGCGAAUCUCUGGUUGUUAUAAUAAUUCUGCUUCCACCACCAAAGGAAUGUGGCUCUCCAAGUAAAGCUUCAAUUUGUUCUAAUUCUUCCACAUCAUCAACAACAAUAAGAACUUUUCUCCGACCUAGACUAUUUAACAUCACCUGGAAACCUUUAUUCGAAACGUCGGAACUCCCCACCCUGUUGUUCGAGAUACUCGAUAGAAGUUCUGCCUGCAUAUGUAGUUUGCCAUGCUUCAUGAAACCUUCCUUGAAAUUUUCAAGAAAGCAACAAGCUUUAAAUCCACCAGAGAUUUCAUUAUAAAUAGCUCUAGCGAUGGUUGUUUUGCCUAAACCACCCAUACCCCAUAUUCCAACAAUGCGAACAUCAUUAGUUUCAACUCCAGGAGGAUGCAGUAAUGAAUGCAUGUUAUGCAUAUGAGAGUCCAUUUCAACCAAGCCAUUAUAUUUGCUUGAGGAUGAUGAGAUGUAUCGCCGACCCCACUUAGUGGGAAAAGGCUUUGUUGUUGUUGUUGUUGAUGAUGAUGAUGAGAUGUGGAUCAAUUUCUUAAAAACAUCUUCUACAAUUUUCUCAAUAAGCUCUGCAUCAUCCCUGUCAAAUUUAAAACACAAUAUAAUUACAACACCAAAUGAUACUUAAUGGGUCGUUUUGAUAACAAUUUCGUUUGCAAUUUUUUUUAAAUCUAGAUUUUAAGUUUGCAGAUUUUGUUUUCAGUUUUUAGUUUCAAUGAAAGUAGUUAUUAAACAAGGUUUCCAAUUUUUCUUUCAUGGUAUACAGUACGUAGUCCCAAAUAUCAGUAGUUAGAUCUUGCAUUUAGAUCUAAUGGGUAUUUACAACCUUUUUUCCUGAGAAUUUUGUACCAUUGUAGCCAGAUCACAUGUUUUCAUCCGUUAGUUUUAUAAAAAUGGAAACUACAAACUUAAAAAAAAAAAAAAAUAUAUAAUAUAUAUAUAUAUAUAUAUAUAUCAAAUGGCCCCUAAAUGCUAUUAAAAAUCUCAAAAAUUAACAGGAAACUAAAACAAAUUAGAAUUUAUUCAUGGUUUCGCAAAUCCCAGCCGGAUAAACUGGUGGCCGUUGUAAGAGAGGACCUCCAGCCGGAUAAACAUUUUCGAGUUAUUUGAUAUUUGUAUAGUAAAAAUACUUUAAUAGCAAGUGCGCGUGAGUGAAGAAAUUGAACUUACUUAUAUUCUUUCGAAUCCCAACCGGAAAAAUUGCAGGCUCUGGGAAGAGCGGACCUCCAGCUCUGCACCUCCUUCACGUCAACGUUAGAACGACCUUCAUGUUUAGCAAAAGCUUCUGCAAAACUUCCCUCGAGUUUACGAAUAUUGGACGGAUCGACUUGGUAGAAAAUGGGGAAUACAAUCUGGUUCUUGGAAUGGUUGCAUUCCAAGAUUUCCACGAGUUCUUUCAAGCACCAUGUGGAUGAAGCAUAGUUUUGAGAGAAAACUACAAUCGAAAUCCUUGACUCUCGAAUCGCUGUCAGGAGCUCGGAAAGGCGGUCGCCUUUUCUGAGGUCUUCGGCAUCAAUGAAGGUGUUGAUUGGUUUCUGACGCAGAGCUUUGUAGAGAUGGCUGACGAAGCCCGUGCGAGUGUCUUCCCCUCUAAAACUGAUGAACACAUCGUAUUCCCAACCAAGGCAAGAAGAAGAAGAAGAAGCAGCCAUUAAUCGAUCUCACCUGGGCAGCGAUGAUCGAGCAGCUAAGACUAAGAGAAUUGUAAGUACAGAAACACUCAAUAGAUCUACAAAUUGGAUCACCAGAAAUUAGUCAAUGAGUCAAUGCAAAAGGGAAAAGGGCAAUUAUGCUUUUUGCGUUUUCACAUCUUCUUCAGGAAAUUUCGGUGUGAAAGGAAUCCGCAUACUUUUGAUUUUUCAACCCAAGAAAAUGCGAAGAAAGGGGACAAAGUAGUAAAUUUAAUCUACAGUUAGUUACCUACUCAAUAACCUCUUGAUUUAAUAUAUAUUUAAUUGGGAAAAGUAGUUUAGAGCAAGGAUGUUAUCUCCUUUUCUUCUCUCUCGAUCAGUCAAUCUUCCCGCGUGCGAUUUAAUCAUGAUUAAAGCUAAGCUUAAUCUUAGGUCGUAUUAUUUAGGUCUAAUUGGAUUCUUAAUUCUUGUGAUAUAGUAGUUGGAAGAUUAAAAAAAAAUUAUGAUUUAAACGUUUGUGAUGAAGUCUGUUACGAUUUAAAUUCAAAAUUGAAAAUUUCGUUAACUCCAUUAAUUGUUAGCACAUGAGACUCACAAAUGAAACUAAAAAUAUAAAGUUAGCCUCACAUGUAAUCUUCACGUGCUAACAAUUAAAAGAGAGUUCCGUUUUAGCUUAAUAUAUGUGACUCACGUGUUAAUAAUUAACAAAAUAUUAACAAAAAUUUUAAUUUUAAGCAUAAAUUCAAAUAAACUUCACCACAUAAGCUUAAAUUCUAAUUUAGAUAUCUUCUAAUUUAGAUAAUUUUUAACUGCAAGAUGUACGAUGAACGGAUAUAAUUCACAAAUCUCCAAAAUCCUUACAAAAAAUAUCCGAAAAAGAGCCAAAUUCAAUGGAAAUAAGCUAAUUUUGAAUCAAAUAACAUUACUUUAUUUUGUAAAUAAAUUAAUUUUGAAUUGAACAACAUUCAUUUAUUAUGUAAGUAAUUCAUUUUGUAUGUAUCAUCAUAUAUAUUAGGCACAUUUUAUCAUAGGUGAUUUUGUGAAAAAUUAAUAAAAAGUUACAAUAUUAACAAUAGAUCAAUAAUAUUUAUGUUAAUUAUAAAUAGGCUAACCAUGUAUUAUGAUACUUAAAUGCAUUUAAAAUAAAUAAAAAUUACAAAAUCUACUACUACAGCUAGCAUUCACUUCAACUAAAGCAAUACGUAGUUUUUAUAUUUGGAAUAAGUCAUACGAAUCAGAGACAUGAAGAGGUGUAAGAACUGUGAAUGUCCAACAACAAAGACUUCGGAGUUUGUUGUCGAAUAUCUGCAGCGCAUCAUUUCUGAUAGAUCAAAUCGAGCCAAUUCCCGCAAACUCCAAUCCCACCACCACCUUUCAAGCCGGACUCAGCCCUCCGGGCGGCAUUUGGCAGGACAGCACUGGAUCAAACAAGAUUGAGACUGGCAGUGGGAGCAAUGAACGAGCACACUCAGCAGGGAAGUCCAUCAUGGGUUCUAACCACACAUUGUUUCUCUACUUUGUGGCUUCCAACACGAUUGGAUUUUUUGUUUCACUUUACAUGAUCAAUGUCCUCACCAGCAAUUUCCCUCUGCAGUUGGAGCUUCAAAUUUGUAUUGUCGCGAUGUACAGCACGUACAACACUGCAGUUUUCAGCAUUGCACCGGAGAACGUGCGCUUCUUCGUCCUUCUGUUCUCUGUAGUUUUCCCAACUUUGGUUACACUUGCUGUCCAAAAUGAUCGUCUUUCGACAUACAUCACAAUGGCGAUCUUUAAUCAUAAUGACUUGUACUGCUCGAUCAAACGAGACGCAUGGAGGCGCGACGUAGGAGCCACGGUGCAGCCCAAACUUUGCAGAUAAGAAAUCUGGUAAUUCACAGCAUCACAAACAUGUUACUGGGUCUCCUGACCAUCGUAGAUGCCAAUGUGUGCACAAGGAAAGGAGUAAGGUAAUCAAAUGCUUGAGUCUUGUGUACCUGUUUCGGUGUUGGUUCGGAUGAACCCAUUGAGUUCUCGAUCCUUAACUUCUGGAAAUGCUCCUGAAAGCAUAAAUAUAUGUACGGAUUUAAACCAAUGGCAAAUGGACAUAAUUUACGGACAAUGAUUGAAGAAAAUACAGAUAUAAACGCCUCAGUAUUCCAUUGACGAAAGUUCUAGAUUUGAUGAAUCAAACGUCCCACGUUGAGACUGCGUUAAGGCAAAUGGUUCUCAAACACAAAGCAAUAGUUUGCUACCGAAAACAACCAAAGUCUGACAAAGGGAACCGUCUUACACCUAACCUGUUUUUCCCUCAUCAAAUGAGCGCGUUGAUCUGCAGGUAUUUUCUGCCAUCUCAAAACCUGUUACAAAGAAAUAUAACGUUGAUGUUGAGCUGGAUAGCAUAUUAUACCAAUUAUGUGUACAAACCUAUUGAAAUAAAGUAGCUGUAGUUGCAUAUUACGACAGAUAUUAACGAAAACAAAAGAAGGCUCGCCUAUUCAAGAUCCUAAAUCCCAUGAUUCUUUUGUUUUUAGUUUCAGAAAUUUUCAGAGCACAAACUGGAAAGUACCAAGAUACUUACAUAUUGGGCAUAAUGAAAUGCAUCUUCAUCUUUCAAGCAAGAUUUCAGUGAGCGCAAACCAUCCUGGGAGUUACAUAAGUCAAUCAGUAAUAUAAAAACGUAGAUGCAUCACAUCCAAACACAAGUAUUCAAACACCAACAACUUCUUCAUGCGGUGAGGCAUGUUAAAAAAUAGGGAAGAACAGUUAUUGAAUAGGAAGUUAAAGGACUAAAUUUAUGACCUUGUGUUUGUAGUUCUUGGCUCGUAUGCGUUCAUCUAUUACAAAACCAAUCUGUAACAGGUACAACAGAAAAUAUAAGCAGUAGUCAGAACAUUAAGCAUCGGCAUUCAAAUUGCCGCCAAUCCAAAGUUAAAAGUCUAAAGGCAAAACAGUAUGAUUCUUAUCUCUCAAACAAAAAUGAAACUAUACCCCGGUCUCAGACAUAAAUGAAAUAAGUUCUACUGCCUCAACUGAGUACUGUGAUUAUAUAUAAAUCCAAUUCACCUUGUCAAGUAAUCUCUUAGGAUCUUGAAAUGCUUGCUUCUUAGCCCAGUCAUUAAAUACAUGCGAGAUAAUCGAUCUCUCAUCCACACUGAAUCUAUUGCACAGUGACAGGAGAAUAAAGUCAAACAUGAACAUAACCAACCAAAAAUGCUAGUUAUAAUAGUACACCCAUAAUUGCAAGCAAAACCUUUUUAAGAAGCCAUUUCCAUGGUUUUCCUCCCCAAAUUCCAUCAAUUCUGCAGAGGCAACGUCAAAUUUACUAUGAUGGAGAUCAUUUUGCACCAUAACAACUUCAGAAGGUAGGAGAUUUGGUUUGAGAUCAUCUGUUGACGGAGUAGUUUCUUUUGAAGUGUCAUGAUGCUUUGAUUGCAAGCCUUCUGUACUUACGUCAGCCUACAAAACAAAAAUUGCAUUCAUCCACACUAGACUUAAUAAGAUUAGAAACACUUCAGAUUCUUCACUAUUUGUAAGUUUGACUAAACAGCAGAACAACUGAGGAUAAUGAACAGUAAUACACACCUGGACUUCUCGUAGAUGAUUUGGAAUUUCUUUCAGAAAUCGCGAAGGUUGAAGCAUCUGAAGGAGCCACCUUCUCAGUCAGAGCAACAACAACAAAUAAGGAGGACAGGAAUUCAAGCUAAAACGAACCUGCCAACUGGAAUCCAUCGUAACAUAAAGAAUGAAAAGCUUUUUUCGAGCACGAGUCAUUGCAACAUAUAAUAGGCGUCUUUCCUCCUAUGAUUAGAGUGGGAUUAUUGAGUUAUUGACCAAAAGAAAAAAGAGUGGAAUUAUUGUGACAAACACUUCAAAGCUCUGCAUAUAACUGAAAAAUGUUGAACAAUUUACCACACACCUCAAUGGAGGUCCCAUUUUCUUUUGCAACGCCAUUGAAUUCAUGCAACAACGGAAUCUCAGAUUCAUUUACCUGUGUUAUUGGCAUGAGCAUUAAAGCAAGCUAAGAUGAUUUGAAGAGGUUGAUAUUGUCAUGAAUAUAGUAGAAUAGAAUACCAAUUUCAAGCCAUCAAUUAGGUAUAGCAUUGGCAUGUUUAAUCCGUAAAUCUAAUGACAGAACACCUCAACUCUACACAUAAAUAAAUAAACAACCUGAAAAAUAUUACAGCCACUUGUUAAGGCAAAUACCUUAAUUAUGAAAACUAUAUCCCACUCUAAACCUUUUGACUGCAAGAGAAUGAAAAAGAAAGACAGUAAGCCAAGAAUGUUUUGUAGAACUCCAAAGGAAGUCCAAUAGGGAAAUCAUCGCAAGUAUAAGAGUUAGCGAGGUUCGCAUAAGAGGAUAUCAAAAAGAUCUAGAACCUGAUGAAUAGUAGUCAAAGUGACAGAACUUUGGUUGUCAUGUCUUCGGGAGUGAAAAUUUUCACUCUCCCGCUCAGAUAUGUAGUCGAUGAAAGCUUUGAGUAAAUUAACGCAGCCUUUUUCUUCUGCUACGACUUCUCUCUCCCCUUUUCCCGCAACAAAAUGAGUUGAUAAGAAAUCAGAUACGUCGUCUAGUAGGUACUGAAGAACCUGCAAUGAGAAUAAUCGCAUCAAAACAACAGGGUUGGACCAAGAUUUAAGUGACAACAAUGAUUAACUAACUAAAAUAGAGAAAUUAUUCAUUUAAGACCUUGUUGACUGAAAAAAGGGUUUUCCAAGCAGCGGGUCAUUUAAGCUUAUUGUAUAAAUGACAAUCAUCACAAACGGCAAACUUACAGAUCUCACGUCAUUGUCUUCAUUCAGCAGUUUUCCUCCAUCUACAUCAACGACUGCACGUUGCUCAAGAAGGUACUUCUAAAAACUGAAAGUCAAACGAUAAAUUAUUAAGAAGCAUUGAAUAUAAGCAUGAAACGAAGAAAAUGUUAUGGAAUGGUGAUCCUCAUCCUCAAAGAUGAUUAAAAGCAAUUUGAUUCAAAAAUGACAUAUCAACUCUGGAGAAAUGGAAGACAAACCUGUGGUACCAUAUUCGCAACUGAGGUUAUGACAGCUGAAAUCGAUUGUUCCUGUGUGCAUUGAUAAGUGAGACUACCAUAGAGAUUCACAACUAAAUAAAGACAGGUAUUCCACAGAACAACCUUUACCUCUUUGGAAACACAGAUCUAACAAAAACUAUAACAUUUUGGAUUAAUAUUGACGAAUCAAGAAUAAUGCAAGGGAGCAAGAGAUACUCUUCCUUCUAAUAACAAGGAGGCGUGAAAAGUUUACAGAGUUCCAACAAUUAGAGAACUAAAAUCAAACUAAAAAAAUCACCAAAGUAGACAGAAUCCCACUUCGCCAAAAAUUUGAAAAUAUAUCCUUUUUAUCCAUUGAGAUUCAUGAACUACUACUACUACAUCAUGCCAAUAAGCAAUGCGUAAGAGGUGCUACAAUUUACCGAAUAUAUUUACCCUGAGAACAAGUUUUGAAAUCAUCUCUAGUGUUAACAGCACCUUGCGUCCUUGGGUAAGCUGAGUCCUAUUAUCAAGUAAAGAGACCAAUCAGUACAUAUCCAAAAGAUCUUAAAUGCUUGUAAUACCAAAUAAGAAAGAAACAUGAGUAUAUCUUGAAUUAACAAUGCAAAAAUGUAAUGUUAAAGCAUCUUGUCAUACAGACCUCUUCAAGGUACCAGAAAUUUUGGCACUAAAGAUGUCACAAGCAGCUGAUAUGAAGCUGCAUUUUCUGUGAGUUGAAAUUUUGUCAAUAUAAUCAAUCACCUGAAGAGAGAGAGAGAGAAAGACAGUGAUAUCCAGAGAUGUGAGCCUAAAUGCUGAGUGUGUAAAAAAAGAAGAUUAAAUGGAUAGCAAGAAUAUACAACUUUAAUGCUGAAAAGAACAUUGAAUAUGAUGCUCAUUCAUCAUUGCCAUUGAACGUGUACCUUCUUCUUUUCCUCUUUCUCAAAAGCAAGUAGAGCCUUGAAGACUCGCCUAUAUGAUCCAUCAUCACAACCAGGCAAAGUUGUUUUAAUCAUAGCAACAAUGGCUCUAACUACCUGCCAUAAGAAACAUGCUACAUCAACAAGAUCACAGAGUGUACCAGAAACCGUAAUGUAGCAAAAUCUUAGAUAAAAUAGCUGGCCAAAAGGGAAUGGAAAAGCAAGCACAAAAAACAAUGAAAAGGACCAGUGAUGCCAAAAUUCUGGUGGAAAAGGUGAAAAGCUUACGUCUAUUACAGUUCUUGUAUGCAUUCUUUAUAACUUAAGUUCUACGCAGCAAAAACCACCUUAUGCACAACAAUAUUGGAAAAAUUAGAUACAUACAACUGAGAAGAUAGGUUUUCAUAGCUGGACAAGUGCUAACUACCUUCUUCCUAUAAACUGCCACUCCAUGAACAUUAAAUGGUAUUUUCCUUUCACGCAAGGCUGUCUGGAAGACUUUUCCUGAUACCUGUAGUAUAAAAUACAAAAGAAAAUGUGAGCAAAAUGUCUUAUAUGAUUCACCUCAUUCACAUUAGCACUAAGGCAAGUACGCUUGACCUGCCUCCGGUAAAGGAUUGCUAUAUUUCCAUAGGAGCACCCUGCUUCUGACCGUUUAGAUGCAGUCUCCAGGAUCUUGUCGACAACAAAGGCGCAUUGUGCAUCCUCAUUGUGACUUUCCUUGAUAAUUACCUACAUUUUGCCAGUAAAACCGGUGUCACUAACUAAAAGGACUGAAAAAUGACAUCAAAUUGUACUUGUUGGAGCAAGGAAAGAUUAAGUACCUUAGACCCAGAAGAAUUGUCCGUGUCAACAUUCUUUAGUUGGCAUCGCUUCUUAUUGUUUUUUAUAACAGAAGAUGCAGCUUCCACAAUAUAGCGUGUGGACCGAAAGUUUUUAUUAAGCCUAAUCUGAACCAUAAAGUUAUGUCAAAUCCCACAGAACCCCAUAAAAUAAAACUUACUUUCCUGUAAUUGUACAAUAUAUUUGUUCUAUACUAUAUAUAAUGAAAAAAGACACUGUGAAUGACAUAAGAUAACAUAGCAGUCAAGUGCGAAGCGAACCUCUUUGUUAUUUGAAAAAUCUUUACGAAAAGAAUCAAAUCCAGAAAUGUCCGCCCCAUUGAAACUGAAAAUGGACUGCAGCAGGAUAUAUGUUAUUUGAUUUAGAAAAGAUAAGGGCUGGAUUAAAAUGAGCUGAGAGAGAGAGAGAGGGAGAGAGGGAGCAAUAACAUUGGAUUUCCAUAAUAAAUCAACAACAUGCCUGAUCAUCAUCACCAACAAUGGUUAUGUGGUUAUGAGAGGCGAGAAUCCGCAAAAGACUAUAUUGCAUAGCACUUGUGUCUUGAAACUCGUCUAUUACAAUAGCUUUCCAUGACUCCUGGCACUCCUUCAACACUAAUUAAAAGAACACCAUGUAUCAACAUUUAGCAUUACUUGUAAAACUAGAUAAAUCAAUGAAAUAUACUUAGAUGAUAGAGACCUUCAGGAAAAUCACUUAGCAGCUUCACAGAGCAGCUAAUUAAGUCGUGGUAGUCCAAAGCGUUGCACGAUUUCAAGAUAUCAUUGUAAUUCCUAAGAAUUUCACCCUGAUUCAGAUUGAGAGCUAAAACUCAUAAGCAAUAGUUUCAAAGAACUGAAAUCAUAUCUGAAAUUCUAGUUCUGAGCGUACUCCUGUCACAUCACCCAUUCUUCGGCAUUCAGCGGGAGUCUUUCCAGAAGCUUUUGCCUGAAACAUAAAUAAAUUUAUUGCCUAAUGCCACAUAUUGUAAGACACACCAUUGUAUUGGUCAUUCUAGCUUGAUUGUAGCUAAUAUUUUUUAAAUCGAAUGAUUAGAGUUCUUAAUCCACAAUAAUCUGAACAUUAAAUUUGGUAUUCAAGACUGACCUGUGUCACAAACUUCAGCCAUUUCUUUGAUGCAUCCUUAAAAUGAUGUGGAGAUGUUACGCCGUUAGACUCUUCCCCAUCUAUAGCAACAUUAAGAUUCGUUUUACUCUUUUCAUCUUCUGAUAAACGCACAGCUUCAAUGAUUGCUCUUCUCUGUUGCCCAUGUCCAUAUAUCAAAAAUUCUGGUCUGCGCUCGAGUCUAAAACACAAGGCAACAUAACAGACUCAGCUAUACCACCAUAUGUAUGGUGUUCAAAAUCAAGGGAGGUGAAUCAAUAGCUUACUUCUCAGCAUGUGAUCGGCAAAGUUGCAAUGAAAAUGAAUGAAAUGUACUGAUUGUUAGUAGUUUGCCGUUGCUUUCCCAGUCACAGAUCCAAUUCGAUCUCUCAUCUCGGAAGCUGCUGCUGUAGUGAAAGUCAUUGCUAGAACGUUCGACGUGCUAAUGCCCUAAGAACACCCAAAAAAAAAAAACGAAUAAGAUUUCGAUCAUAAACAAGAAAUGUAGAGAAACAGACAAUUAUGAAAGAAAAAGUUAAGAGGGAAAGUAGCAACACCUCAUUGAGCAGCAUUAGAACGCGCCCAACUAUCGUUGAAGUCUUUCCACUUCCAGGGCCGGCAACAAUCAUCAAAGGUACUGAACUAUCGCUGCAAGCUGCCUCGAGCUGCCUUUCGUUGAGAGAAAGCAAAUACUUCAAAUACUCAUCCGGCAUGUUAGGCAAUCCAUGGUUAACAGAAUCUGUUUGGUUUUCACUACUCAAAGGCGGCGCUGAUGCGGCACUAACGACACUACCACAACUCCCAAUAUCAUCACGCUGAAUGUCCACACUCGUUUUCUGCUCGAUUAAAGCGUCAAUUUCCUGCAAAAUACUCUCAUCGAAAUCAUCAUCGUUAAGAAUUCCAGAUGCAGAGAAAGAAUCAAAUGAAGUCAGAAACUGCGGUUGUCUGAUUGGAGUUGUGAAAGAAUCCGAUUUUGACACGCUUGAUUCGGUCCGGCUAACGCUUAAGCUCCCGGAACACGAAGCACUGCCAUAUUCACCACGCGCUGAAUUGUACCGGCUUGCGGAAAUCGGAGGCGGUGUUCUUUGAACUCUAUUGAGCUGAGUUGGCGUUUGGAUUCCAUUUCCGCCACAGAUUCUGGAAUUUGAAAAACACAAUUGAAUUGAUUUAAAUUGAAGCAAGAAAACGGCCGAGUAGCAAAAAAAUAGUAAGAAGAUGAAACCUUUGAUUCCUGAACGACUUACUUGGUAUGAGGGAGGUGAUGAUCAGGUGAAACGGCGUCGUUGCGGGGGCGUUUGCGAUCAAUGAGGGCCUUGGCGGCUCUGCAAUUCCGAGAGAUGCGGUUUCUUUGUUCCGCCGUGAGCCCUCCGCCGUACGCCUGAACGUUUUCCUUGGACAUUGCUUCGAAGAUUCCAACGGAGGAUUUGGCCUGACGGCCUGACCAGGCUGAUAACAGUGUAAAACCUUAGGAGCUAAGGAAAAACUAAGAGAGAGAUCGUAGAGAGGGGAAAGUUUUUUGUUUUUUGGAAACUUAGAGAGGGAAAGUUUGUUAAACCUGCAUAAUAUUCUUUUCGUUCAACUUGUCUACAAUAAUUACCACUCUUGGUAUUUAUACAUUUGUAACACACCUCACUAACUAACUAAGACCACUACCAAUCAUACAUAAACACUUGUCAUAAUCCUAUGCACUCAUAGUAUCAUCACUCUAACAUCCCCCUCAAGCUCGUGUGGCAGAUUGCCAAGUAUGAAAUUGGAACAAUUACGAGUGAACUGGGGUGAACACAAGCCUUUGGUGAACAUGUCGGCAUAUUGAUCUGCAGAGGUAACAAACUGCAAAAUAAUUGUCCUUCGAUGAACUCUUUCACGAACAAAGUGGCAAUCAAUCUCUAUAUGUUUGGCUUUAGAGUGCAAUACAGGAUUAGUCGCAAGAGCCAUUGCUGAAAUGUUAUCACAAUUCAAAACUGGAACAGAAGGAUAACCAACAUGCAAAUCUCGAAUAAGUUGUUGUAUCCAGAUAACCUUAGCAGUGGUUGUAGCCAUUGCUCUAUAUUCAGCUUCAGUGGAAGACCUACUCACUGUAUGCUGCUUUUUAGAACUCCAAGAGAUAGGAGUAUCUCCCAAAAAAAUGACAAAACCCGUGGUUGAACGACGAUCAUUGGGAUCCCCUGCCCAAUCAGCAUCUGUAUAAGCUUUCAACUAAGAUGAACCUAAUUUAAAACACAAUCCCAAAGACAUAGUGCCUCUGAGAUAUCGCAGAAUACGUUUCACAGCAGCAAAUAAGUGGCUAAGGGUGAAUGCAUAAACUGACAUACUUGAUUGACAUAAAAAGAAAUAUCUAGUCUUGUAAAUGUUACGUAUUGCAGUGCCCCAACAAUACUUUUAUAAGUGGUAGGAUCAGAAACAGGUUCACUACCAUGAUUCAGAAGCUUCUAAUUAGGAUGACAAGGUGUGGGAAAAGGUUUAUAGUCCAGCAUAUGCAUAUUUUGAAGGAGUUCUUUGACAUACUUGGUCUGAUGAACAAAGAGUCCCUGAUCCUGAUACUCAAUCUGUAAACCAAGAAAAUAAUGCAACACACCUAGAUCUUUCAUGUCAAACUCACUAGUUAACUGACUAAUAACAUUAUGAACCUUCACAUCAUCAUUACUAGUGAGAAUGAUAUCAUCAACAUAUAAUAAGAGAACAAUAAUUGAUGAACAAUCACACUUGACAAAUAAUGAAGGAUCUGCAUAUGAGAUUGAGAGUUACAAGGAAAAGAUAUACAAGACUUAUUAAGUGUUGCAAUGACAAUGGAAUGUGCAGGAUCGCCUAAUCAACAAUGCCACAAUGUAGAAGAAAUCUUUUGACCCACAAAUGCAACUGGAUUAAAAACAGGAGAAAUAGACCUCUGUGGUUUGAUAUGGGAAGUGGAUAGACAACAUUAUUACUCAGCCCUUGGAAUAGCACUCUCCCGAUGACCUUGUCCUAUAGACAGAGAGAAACAUCAUCAAUGAUACAACGACACUAAUUAUCUUUGCACAACUAAUUCAUAGAUAAUAAGUGUUGUGAUAGUUUUGGAACAUGUAACAAAGAGUUUAACUUGAAAUUAUGUGACUUAGUGAGAAGAGAAGAGGAACCAAUAUGUUUGAUAGCUAAACCUUCACCACUAGCAGUGGUCACAGUAUCAUUUGAUGGAUAAAUUUGUUGCCAUGUGCAAGUUUGACAAAUCUGAGGUCAUAUGGUUAGUUGCUCCCAAGUCAAGAAACCAGAAAUCUUGUUGAAGAGUUGAGGAUGAUGCACCAGCUCGUGCUUGCACAGCAAGAGGAGGAUUUUGUGAGGAUAUAAUUGAGAGAUACAUAUGUGGUAUGACAGGAUACUGAAACUCGAAGCUAUUAGACUGUGGAAUCAUGCCUUGUGAAAGACCACAUGGAUUCUAGCUAGGUGCUUCACCAUAUGACCCAGUAGGCAUUGGAGUUGGCAUAGACGAGGAUAAACCCUGAGAGAAAUGCUAUGAUGUGUCUGUGAAAUUCUUAUUCCGAUCAAAGCAAGUAGCAGCAACACGGCAGCCUCUGUGACAAAUUUGACAUCCAUGUUGAAAACAAUUCAAUGCAGAAUGACCUUUGCGAUCACAUAUUUGCAUAAUGGCCUCUGUGAUCACAUAUUUGCAGAAUGGCCUUUGCAACCCUAGAAAGAACAAGGCGCGAAGAAGACCAAAUGUGUACGUUUCUCUUUGUUUUUUUUUCCCUCCUAAUCGUGCUGUUCGAAAUCACGGACCUCGGGCUUGGGCCUAAUGGGCCCAAUUAUGAGGCCUAUUAUCUCCGGUCUUCUCGUUCUACUUCUAGUUACCCAAAUUAAGAACGUGCUGGUUCGCUUUUAGCGCGAGAGAGAAAUGGAGGCCCUGAUUGCCUCGUACGGAAACUCGUCGUCGGGCUCAGACUCCGAGACGCCGGCUCCACCUCCACCACCACCUCCGGAGCUCAACAACCCUCAAGAACCGACCCCUGCGCUGCCUCCACCUCCUCUGUCACUUCUCGACAGCCCCAAUUCCUUCGGUAACCUCUGAUUCCCAUCAAUUUUCAUCUUUUAGCUUUCUGUUGUGAUGGCUUUUUCCGAGUUGCCCACCAAGUGUUUGAUAUUUUGCCUCUGAAGGAUUUCUGGACUUCUCGGCAAGCGUCCAGCCGAGCAGAGUUCGGAACUUUCCUCACGUCGAAGGGAACUACGCAGUACAUGUAUACAUCCCAGGUUAUCAAAAUUCUCGAAAUUUUCAGCUCCAUUAGCAAAUGCGAUCGCUUUGCACUUAGUUUUUGCUUGUUUAAUUGUGUGGUUCCAGUUUAUAUACCACCAGCACCAAGGAAAGAGAUGGCCUUGUUUUUGAACAAGCUAGCUUCUCUGGUGCCUUGUCUCCAUGCGGUUGACGUUGACUUCCCGCUUGACAUUCUGCGUAAGGACGAGCACAAGCUUGAACAAGUUGCUUUAGGCAGAGAGUUCCAUAUAAGUCUCGGAAGAACUGUUCCGAUUCGGGUGCACCAGAUUGAUUCCUUGGUGACAAUGCUGCGGCAGAAGCUUCAGAUUCAGAGGCGGUAUGGUUACAUUUACAUUCUCUUGUCUGCAUUGCGUGAAUUUAGUUCUGUUAUUUAACAUAAUUCUGUAAGCCUGCAAUUUUUUCGUCCAUUUUCGGUUUAACACAUUUUGUUAUUGUGCAACAGGUAUUGGAUUGAUUUUAGCAAGUGGGAGGUUUUUGUUAAUGAUGAUCAGACCCGGACCUUUGUGUCUAUCGAAAUCAUUGCUGCUGGGUUAGCUGAGGUAUGAUUGCUAGCUUUCUCUCUUGGUGCAAUUCUAAAUGUUUUCAGUUGUUAUAUGGGCUUAAGAUUUAGUAAGGACUUGCCGAAAGUCAUGGGAUUUUGAAAUAUCGAUAUCUUGCUUGCUUAUUAGCUUAGAUUUGGUCUUCGAUGCACUUGUAACAUGAAAAACACAAACGAAAACUAAUGCAUGAUAUGCUCAUGGUUUUAACAUGUGUUGUCCUGGCGUAAAUCAUGUUCCUAAUCCUGUCAUGUGAGUAUAAGCCUAUGAAACUCAGGGCAUGUUUGGCGGGCCGGACAAGAUUGGAAUUGGUAUUUCAGACUAGUUAGGUUAGGAUUGAACUGGAUAGGAUAGGUUUUUUUGUCUAAAGAUUGGUGUAGACUGUCUUAACCAGACUAGGAACGAUGGGAUUUAAAACGUGAAACAGAUCCGCGACAUCCCAACGAUGACCCGCCCACCCAACAACUCUGCUCGUGACUUGCAACACCUCUCGUACCCUCCACGCCCCUUGAGGCCCGUCAGACCACUCUGAUAUCCUGGAGGGGUGAAACGUGGUUACUAGAAGCAUACCUGUUUUCGUAUUAAUGCACAGUUGAAGCAGCUUUCAUUGUCUACAAGUCUGAAAUAUUUCAACUUCCAUUGAUUUCAGAUAACAAAGCAGAUUCAAGCUGUGAAUGAGGUGUAUAAGCUUCACAAUCUUCCUGAAUUUUACAAGGUUAGCUUUUUCGUGCUUUUCAAACUCGAAAUUACUUACUGAAUAUAUGACAAUAUAUUGGAGCAAAUGAUUGUGCCUGAAUGCUACUCAUUGCUCAAAAAACUAAAUCACUUCAUGGGGUGUUGGUGAUCACAGGAUCCGCGCCCUCACAUCUCGGUAGCUUGGGCAUUGGGUGACAUCGGCAAUUCCCUGAAGAAAGUGGUUGAAGAAGAAAGACGAAGAUCUACCAUCGGAGGAUCGUUACAGAAAUGUAUUUUUACCAGUAAAUUCAAUGGUAUUGAAUGUAGGAUUGGUAAUAAAACACACAAAAUAUGUAAAUUUUCUGAACAAUAAUGUAGCCAUUUAACUAUAUUGUGAAAUUCCGAGAAUAUAUCGCUGAGCAUUGGAUGAGAAGACAUUUCUUCGUUGGUGUCGAACUUCAUGCCGAAGGUAUAGACACCGUGUAAACGCCAUCAUCCAUGCAGUCUCCUGUGCAUUAUUUAGUAUUGUCUCAGUUUCUCCAAACUUGAAUGCUCCUAUAAACCCACUCUUGACCUUUCCGUCAUCUGCGAUUACCGGAAAGCUGGCAAGGAUGUUGCCGUUAACCUACCUAACCGGCUAGGAUGUUGCCGUCAUCUCCAAACUUUAAAUACCGGAAAGCCGGCUCCAAACUUCAAUGUGCUACUAGUUUUUGUAUGCGAGAGCUCCACCUCCAUUGUUGUAACAGCAUCUGAUGCGGACUAGUCCUUCAUUCCCGUUACUCUUUGCUAUCUCCACUUCGAACUUGGCGUAAUGGCUCCCGGCCUCCUCUCCGGUGAAAUUGAGAAACCCCGGAGCUGGCGUUUUCAUUCUGUUGUCCGUAUAUCUUGUAUUACAAGUAUUUGUUGUGCAAAAUGCAAGCUAAGUUCAAUUUAUGUUUAUGUGUGUGUGUGUGUUGCCACUUUGUCACUUUUCCAACGUUUUCUCCAAAAUUGUGAUUUUGGUGAAUCCUAAUAACAAUUCCCUCGUUAAUCAUUGGGACGAGCACCAAGGCAGUUUUGAUUCCGUGCACAACGGCGAUACCUCGAAAGAAAUUGAUUCUAACCCAGAAAGAUGUUUUAAAUCAAAGUUGAACAAGGGAAGAAAACUUUUGAAUCGCAAUCACAUGUCUGGUCAAAUUCUUGAACAGUUGAUGUAUACAGACGUUCCUUGCUUAUGACACGACUUAUGAGAGGAUGUAUGUAUUGCAUUUGCAUCAAAAAAGAGAGAGAAGGUUGUAAGUGGUAAGGGAACGACUACCGAUGCCGCUCCACUUCUAAUCAAAGGGAUCGAUCCGAGGGUCGUGUUCACUUGCCAUCGCCAUUCCAGUGCAAAGGCAUGUCGGGCACAUUACCUGCCACAUUUACAGACGCAAUGUUAGAUAUAGCUGCCAUUUGGAAGUCACUUCUCAAAAUUUUGCUACUAAAUUAAUCUUAGACUUCAUUUCCAGUGCAAUUUUUUGCUACUAAAUUAAGCUUGUGAAUAUAGUACAUCUAAGCGGCAGGCACUAAAAGGAAUUUAGUAUGCAAUAAACAUUCAACGGACUAACCUUUCCCGCUCCUGAGCAAUUUGAACAUCGUUCAGUUUUUGGCAGAGAUAGGGGUUGGUUUCCGCCAUCAGCUGUCGAUACUGGUUCAGUAAGAACAAGGGUUCCAGUGCUGGAGCAACGAGCACAAGCAAGAUAUCCUGCGUAAGUAUCAAAUACACAGGUAAGUUGACAUAUGAAACCAAUCUGUGUAAACUACACUGUAAUAGCAGAAGAAUAUGCAGUACGAGAGAAAGAGAGAGAGAGAGAUUUAGAGAGAGAAGUUAAUACUUCAUAUGUAAUAUUUUCUAUAUCAUCAAUCUUACAAUAUUAAGACUAUAUACUAUAUGAAACUGCUAACUAACUCUAACAACCUCUCUAACAACCUUUCUAAUCUUUUGACAAGUGUCUUCAUAUUCUACCAUUGGAUUACUAUCCUUAACAUCCCCCCUCAAGCUCAGGAGAGGUAGAAUCCAAACUGAGAUUGCGACAAUGAAUCUGAAAGAGAGGAGCAGAUAAUCCCUUGGUCAGUAUGUCUGCAUAUUGCUCACUGGAAGACACAAACUGAACAAGCAACUGCUUCUUUGCAACUCGUUCGCGAACAAAAUGAAUAUCAACCUCAAUGUGCUUUGUGCGUUGAUGUAGAACUGGAUUGGAUUAAGCAAUUACUGACCUUUGUGCAUCUUACUAUUCCUACUUCACCAGUUUUGUAUUGUGAUAAUAUGUCAGCAAUCGCAUUAACAACCUCUCUAACAACCUUUCUAAUCUUUUGACAAGUGUCUUCAUAUUCUACCAUUGGAUUACUAUCCUUAACAAUCUGAACAUCUCCAUCGUAUAUAUUUAAAGCUACAGUACAUAAAACGAAAAGUCAGAAAUAGAGGACAUUAUCACACCAGUUCCAAGACAAUAUUUGCAUCGUUUAUGCUCCUGCUGUUUCACAUUGUUUAUUUCAACUACCAUCAAUGCUGAGAUCACUCCGACUGCUCCUCCAGAGAAUGACGCCACUAUGGGAUCAACUUGACUGCAGUUUGAAAGUAAAGGAGAUCAAUAAACAAAACUGUUAACAACAUAGUAUCAACAUUAUUUAGCUUCGUUUCAAGAAAUAUGACAUCCUAGGUUUUUCUAAUGUGUAAAAAUUGAGGAUCCUUGACUAUAUCGGUUCCCAAAGCAUUUGAUUCCUACGUUACAGACGGAAAACAGUAACAAUCGAAUUUAAAGAUUCAUAACACGAUAGAUGGUAGGUCUCGGGUUCGAGACUUGGGAGCAGCCUCUCCAUAAAUGGGGGUAAGGCUAGCCGACAUUCACCUCUCCCAGACCCUGCGUAAAGCGGGAGCCUUGUGCACUGGGUACGACCUUUUAUAACACGAUAGAUGGUACAAAUUUUCAAAACGAUAAUUACUAGAGAACAGGAGGGUUAAUAGCCUGAGAUAUGAGCAAUACCUCAACUGCAACGGCAGAUGCAUAUUUACUAUAAAGUCUUUAUAUGAUGUGCCUCCUAUUCCCAGCUUCAACUCCAACUGAAAGAUGUAAAGGUAAUUGUAGGCAAAGAGUUACAAACAUAACCGAAUCCAUGUUUUAUAAGCAACAACUACACUUAUUUUGUUAUGUUUCCUCAUUUUUUACUUGCAAAUUCCGAACCAUAUUGUCGGACCAGUAAAAAGAAAAUAAUGUUUAUGAUAACUGUUAAAACUAAUCACAACAAGUUAAUGCAUAAAGAACUUACGGAGGGUGCUAUGAGGCCACCGAAAAGGAUAAACCCCGCAAUAAUUGAAUAACAAACAGCAUAAUAUUGCUUAAGGUUGUCUGAACUCUGCAAGCAAUGAAUUCACCUUGUGAUUAAUACUUUGCACAAACACUAGUUUUCGCAAUUUUUUAUGAAUCGACAAAAGGCUACAACAAAAUAUGGCUAAAACAUGUGAAAAUACAUGUCUUCACAGGGGCACCAGCUUACCAGGGGAGGCAAAAAUGGAAUGAACGAUGGAAAACUAGGAAGUUCGUUUUCUUGAUCUUCAUUUACCGCUCCAAGCUCUGCACGUUUAAUCCGCUGUUGUAUCCUCAGCCCGCGAACCUACGCAUAUCGAAGCUCAUUCUUAAAGAACACAUUUCUAAUGGCAAUUGGAGAGUAAUUUAAAACAUGCUAAACUGAGAAAGUGGUAGCAACAAGCAAUUGCUCUCACUUCCUCCAUAUGCAAGAAAAUUUUGUUGCGACGACUCCGAAUAUUAUCUUGAAUUUCCUGCAGCUCCAUUGUCGCAAAGUCCUGCACUGUUUCAGGCCCCUCUAUGAUACAAAAUCUGCACAAUUAAGCAUGUAAAAACUAAAAAUUACAGGCUAUAAAACAAUUUCCGUAUCAUUUUUGGGAGCUCUCUCUCUCUCUCAAACCAGAAGGCAGAGCUUUCUGUUUCUCUUGAGGUUUCUUUCACUGGUAAAUUCCAGAGAAGCAGAGAAGAAGGCUCUCUGAGAAAUGGCGAUGGUGCAAGUGGAGACAAAACAAAUGUAUAUCUUGAAGCACCGAAAUUGUGCAGAACACUUGUCAACUACCGAACUCUAGGAUUAGGAGAGAGAGAGAGAGAGAGAGUGAGUGACCGGCAAAAAAAAAAAUGAGGGAAGAAUCACCCACAUUUAAAAAUGAUUUUUAGGGGACCUGGUGUCGUUGGAUUCGAGUAGUUGUUCGGUAUGUCACAUUUAAAAUUUUAUUAUCUGAUGAUAAACGUCGAAACAUAAAGAUAGGUCAUCUCUAACCGAAUGAGGACUAAAAAGUCAUGUUUAGUACUAUAAUCCUGCAAUGAAUUAUAUUUUAAUAAAUAAUAUCAGGUUAUAUUUUAUACCAUAUCUAACCGAGUGGGUCAAAUGAUCAUAUGCCAAACAUAGCCUUUUGACAAAAAACUCAUCUCCAACCGAGGGGGCUAAAUGGUCAUAGACCAAACAUAAUUGCUCAAUAAUUUAUUAUUCUAAUUGAAUUAAUAUGAUUAAUUAAAUUAAAUUACCAUAUUAAAAUAAGAUUUCAUGAUAUAUUUUGAGUGCCACUUGCCACAAUACCGAAGAAAGCAUGGUAUUAUUGCACCUGCCACAAAGUCAAGCUUGACAUUCUGCUGCUGGAGGGCUGGCUGGCUAGCUGAAAAUGGCCAGCCUGCUGGCCUGAUUUGGGAGGUUUUGGCCCAAUGGGGCCCCAAGCCCUUUGGCCUAGCCUUCGGUUGGAAACGGUUUUCGUGUUAUUCUGAGUUAUUUUUAACCCUAUGAUCCUUUGGCCGGAUCGAUUGGAGAUGACCUUAGGUGUGUUGAUUGUCUUUGAGACAUCGGAGGUUCUGUGUGAUUGAAUACUUCACCCUCCUCCAAAGGCGCCACUCUUGAGAAGGUUACUUGCCUCAUGCAAACAUUGUGAAUUGCAAGUGAUGAAUUGUUCUGAUGAUGAGGUUUAUUUUUUAACUCAUUAUGUUUCAAGUUUAAACAUUUUUCCCUCUCUUAGUGUAAAAUAUUGUUUGUGAUAAAAAAACUUAAAAUGAGACACUCUCCUUCAUAUAUAAGAUGAUCAAGUGUGAGAUUAAUACUUUUAAUGAGUGACUCAAUUAACCAUUUUCAUUUCUUACGCGUUCAAAAUUAGACAAAUUCUUUGCAUACAUUUAAAAAAAAAAGAUAUUAAGGAGAGUAUAAAAUUAUUACAUUACGAAGAGAGAGUUUCGAACUCGGGACGUAUGAGUAGAACCCUAACGCCUCUCCACUAGGAUAUUAGACCAAUACUGGUCUUGAAUUUUUUUGGUGCCCGGAGCGAAUGCUCAAAACGUGUCUUUUUCCAGUACAACAUAAAUUAAAAAGAAAUAUUUAUAGAGGGCUAGAACCCAAUCGAAGCUGGGGGACUAGGCCCUUACGCCUAUAUUAUAUUACUUACCUAAUACAAACAUUUCUGAUAGAUUUCAGAGGCUCUAAAUGGUCAAACACUUCGUCCUUCCCAAAACCGUUACUGUUGAGAGGGUUCCUUACCUAAUACAAACAUUUUACGUUUACUUAGAACUAGAAAAAUAAGAAUUGCAGGUGAUGAAUUGCUCUAAUGAUGAUGUUUAUUUUUUAACUUAUUGUGUUUUAAGUUUAAAUAAUUCUGUUUCUUUGAUAUAUAUAUUAGUGUAAAAUCAUUCGUAAUAAUAAAAAAAAAGAAUAAAAAUGAUACUCUCAUUUAUAUACAAGUUGAUCAAGUGUGAGAUUAAUAAUUUUAAUGAGUGAAUUAACUAUUUUCAUUUCUUACGAGUUCAAAAUUACACAAAUUCUUUGCAUACAUUUUUUUUUUAAAUAGAAAAUUUCUAUUAUUAAGGAGAGAGUCCUAAACUAUUAGGUUAUGGAAUGUGAGUAGAAACCUAACGCCUAUCCACUAGGAUAUUAGACCACCAGAGCUGAUCCUGAGAUUUUUGGUGCCUGCGUCAAAAUAUGUCCUUUUCCAGUACAACAAUAUAAAUUAAAAAGAAAUAUUUAAAGAGGGCUGGAACCCAGUCGAAGCUGGGAGGCUAGGCCCUCACGCCCAUAUUCUAUUACUUGAAGAAACAAUAUACAACGGGGGGAAUCAUAGUACCGAAACCCCAACAAUAAAAAACAAAGUCACAUGCAACCACUCCAAGCAGUCAACUUGGCCAUUACAUAUUGAAUCCAAAAGGUUGACGGCCUAUUCUCUGCAUACAAUGCACAGAAGAUAACAAGAUUACUAAUAUAAAAAGAACAUCUGAAAAGAUGAACAUAUGCAUCAACAAAUAAGCAGGGGCGGAUCCACAGUGGGGUCGUCGGGGUCAAACGACCCCUUGGAAACCAUGGAAACAACCUUGAAGCUCCCAUAUGCGACCUCUUGGAGCUGGGGUUGUCGGGGUUGUCAGGAAGAGGAAGAAGAAGACUCGGCAGGAAGAGGAAGAAGAAGCAGCUCGCGCGACGUGUAGGUUCUGUGUAGAGUUUCUGACCUUUAAUUCCCACUUCACAAAGACGAGAGAAAGAGAGAGAGGGAAGGAAAGUCCUCGGGGUGGUGGUGAUGUAGACCUUCGUCGGGGUAGUGGUGUGGGUGUGCGUGGGUGUGGAUUCGAUCGGAGAGAGUGAGAGGGUUAAAGAGUGAAAAAGAGAGAGAGAGAGAGAGAGAGAGAGAGAGAGAGAGAGAGAGAGAGAGAGAGAGAGAGAGAGAGAGAGAGAGAGAGAGGAGAGUUCGGGGAGAUGAGAAGGAGGACAAUGGGGACUUGCCCCGUGGCAAGUUGUGAUAGGUAGGAAAUCCCAAAAAGGGAUCCGGAUAGGGUAAGUAAGUGGGGACCAAAUUGUAAACUUCAUUUAACUGUAGGGAAAUUGUGAAAUUACAAGGAAAUCUUUGGGGAGGGGUUUUACAGAAACCCUUCUCAACACUUAAAAGCAAACUGCGUGCUUUUAAUCAGGUUUGGCUCUAUAAUUGAACUUGUAACCAUGCCUUUCCCUAUGACGGAAUUGUGAUAUGCUUUGCCAGAUAUUCACAAGGAAUUCAUUUUUCUUUUUCCAAUUGCAAAAUAUUAGUGAACAAGUUGUUUCUUCUAUGAGAGAUCCAAGCAUAAUGGUUGGGUAGAUGCAGAUGAGAAAAUCAGCAGUUGCUGUAUUUGGCACAGUAAGAUAUUAACUCUUACAUCUAAAUUGAAAAACAUGAAAAUUUCCUAGUUCUCAAGGUCUCACGUGCAUGCUCAGAUACAUUUGUGCUUCAUAUUUGUGUGUUUGAUUCCGAGAAGGCUGACAAGUUGAAGCAAUCUCUUCCUCCAUGUUUGAACAUUCAGGACCUUUGAACAAGGAUUUUGGAGUAGCUGGUUGCGCUAUCCUACCAAGACCCGAUGAAAUGACGAUAUGCAUGCCGUUUCUGUUAAAAAAAAAUAUCCUUAUUGACCCCCCAAACAUUAUUUCCUGGAUCCGCCACUGCAAAUAAGUAAACCAUUCUAAGUGCAAUUUUAGAAGUGAUACGCUCCAAGUGUGAUAUUGGACAGAAGAGCGGCAGCUUCAACCAGUUCUGCUAUAUCCGGCUGGAUGAGAGCUGCUAAAGACAUGAUUGUUCCCUAAUAACAUGAAUAAAUUGAGUAAACACCAAAAGUAGCGCAGCAAGGGAAGGAGAUUUGAAGUAGAUGAAGAGGUGUAAUACCCGUAUAUGCAGCGCAUCAUUUCUGAUAGAUCAAAUCGAGCCAAUUCCUGCCAACUCCAAUGCCGAUAAUCCUACAGUAAAGCAUAAAUCUUAUUCUCUUCUGAUAAAGAUGUGUGUCCCUGACUCCAACGUGUUUGACGCACAUUCCCUACCCAUACAUUGAAACCUUCAUCUGCAAGGACGAAUCCCAGUUAUUCUUCUGGAGAAUUUAAGAACCAUGAAUCACCUGGUCAAGAAAAGCCAGUAACCAAUUACAAUUGAGUUUGAAGCACAUAAGAGCCUAAUUUAAAAUGUAUCCCAUGGAUGUUCAUCAAUUUACACAAUAGUUAGUUUCAAGAAAGGAAAUUUCAACAGAACCUGAAAACUUCAGAUCAGGGGGCACCAAAUAGUGAGCUAUACAUUCAAAAUUUGAAAUAAUCAACUUAGUGGGACCAAUAUGUUGAAAAAAUUGGAAGGAGCUAUGAAAGUAAGGCUUUUCACUAAUCAGACGUCCAGAGAAUCAAUAUUUUACUCACGGAUCAGUUACGGGGAACACUCCCCACCAAAGCAAACUCUUUCGUCUGAAUCUGGAAAACAAGCAGCAGUGGAUUUUAACAGUCUGGGUAUCUCAAAGUUACUUUAAUCACAAAUUUAACAAUUAAACAUAUAAAUGGGCAUUAUUUAGUGAAAUAUUAGUAUAGUACUCACUGUGUGCUCGGAACAAGAGUACCCAGAAAGCUCAAUGAGCUGCGCACAGAGGACUACAGCGGUGAACGACAGCGACCGAUUCUGUAAAAUUCAGUCGAGUUUUGGGUGAUUUCGGAGGUCAAGAGGCUGAUAAGGAAAGCUGCGACCGAAGGGCACUGGUCUGGAAGAAAAGGCUCAGGUCACUGCUGUCCCAAUUCGCGAAGGAAGUGCCCCCAAAACAAUUUCGGCCCUGGACAGGUGCACUGUUUGCACUGGACCAGGGCCGGCCGGCCCAGGCGAUAACGUCCCCCAAACAGUACAUAUACAGAUGCUAGAAAUAUAUUAAUGUAACCUGAAACUACUAGAACCAUUCAAUUCUAGCGUCUACAGCUUUAGCAUUAGUUGGUACAUGGGACAUUCUUCCAAAGAGGGAGAUGAGCUCGUUGAGGCUCUUAUUUAUUCCCCCUCUUGAUGUGCCCUUCUAGGCUGCUAAUUCCAGACGAUCCAAUCUCAUACAUCUUCCCUGCAAAAGCAUGUGUGCCAGACUUCAAGAUCAAAUUUUUCCAACAAAAGAAACUUAAAGAUCAAACUCGCCAGCGGAAUAAAUGAUGCACAAGGGUGUUAAAAUCUUGACAUAUGUAUAUUUUUGGCAGAUUUUAUGUGAGCAUGCUACUAAAACUGGCAUCACUAAAGAUUGGUGGAAAACUUUAACAGUUUGAGUUGUAACUUCUCCAUUGUAUUUGUUAAGGCAAGAUGGAUGACAUCUAUGCAAUUUUCAGUAGAACUUAAAAGGCUGCAUAGCAGCUCUUGUUCGUUGUAUUGAAUACCGUGGUUUUACUGAUGAAUGCAGAGUUUGUUGAUGAUUCAUACGACAAGCAAUUGAAAAUCCCAUCAUUAUGCCCCACAUAUACCAAAAAAAAAAAGUCAUUUACACAAAUUCAGAGCGUUCAUCCACUGUAAUUUGCAGAUAUAGAAACGUUAAGAUAAAAGGAAAUGCAAAGUACCUUUCACCCAAAUUGGAGGAGCACCGGUGGCAUUAGCAAGUUAGCAACGGGAAUUGACAUACCAAUAUCUUCACAGUUUCUGCACAAGCACAAAUCAAAAGAACCCGGCGGUGGAGUUAUGUACCUCUCCUUGGAAAAUGCCACCUCUUGGGAUUUCAAAAUAUGCAGCCAUGGCUAGCCGUCUGACCACGCCAAUUCCACCAAAGCCACCGCAACGCGGCGUAGUGUCCGAUUGAUUGCUUCAAAACAGAGCUUCGUAUCCAUGUGUUUAUCAGCAGAGAGUACCCAAAACCACUGAAAAUUAUUUCUUUAUUCAGAUAAUAAAAUUUCCCAAAUUUGGAAAUUUAAUUCCGAAUCAAAAGUAGGGUUUGAAUUUUGAUUACCUAGAAAUUGGGGGGUUGGGGUGGAGAGGGACCCGUGCCACGACGGAUCUCUGUGUCUGUUUUAACUCAUGCCAAAUUAUAGAGAGUGUCAGGAAGACUUAAAUACUGAAGCCCCGUAAGCCGUUCAAUCCAGGGGGGAAGCUCUUUGAUAGAUGUUUUAUCCAAGAUAAGAUAUCUUAAUCCUUCCAUAUUUUCUUCAAUGCUUGGAAACACCUCAAAUUUUGUACAACCGGAAACAGAGAGACGGACAAGGGACUUGAGCUGACAAAUGCUGCUUGGAAGGCUCUUUAGUUCCUCGCAGUCGUUUAGCUUCAAAUAAGUCAAUCCCGUGAGAUUAUUAAUCGACCAUGGUAGUUCUUUAAUUUUUGAUCCGGAUAAAUUAAGAAAUUCUAACCCUUCAAUCACUUCUGUAAUCUCUGGAAACAUCUCAAGGCUCGAGCAACCAUAAAGAUCAAAGCUUUUGAGUGAUUUCAUACGAAUGCUGCUGGGAAGACUCUUAAGUUUCUUGCAGUAUAGUAGAUUCAAAUGACUCAACCCCGU
rnacentral:lncRNA from 1 species